CAAUGAUCUUGGGAUGAAGACAUUGUGCACAUAACAGCAUGUUUACCAGUACCUAAAAGUUGUUGUGGUGGAGCUUGGAACCCUGUCAUGCUGGUGUGUGUACAAACAUGUGGUCUCCCAUCCCGAGGAGGAUCAAAAGAACUCCACAACUGCAAGAGGAGAGGCAGUUCUUUCCCCUUAAUUUACACACAUGAAACCAAGAACAAGAAACCAACAGAAUGACUAGGUGCCAGCAAUUCACUUGGAGACGAGAGGUAACAAUAACUGCUGUCUGGGGUGUGCUGGGAUAAGGUGUAAGGGCUGGAUUUGAAUCUAUAUUUGAAACUAACCCCAGAUAAUUGUACCUCUUGCUUCAAGGGCUGUUUUUUUUACACAAUCAAAAAUUCUCCUCUUUUUCAGAAUUGUAGAAAAUUUGGAUCCCCUUACUGUGGUUCACAGCAAAGAAAAUGAAAUUGCAAGAGUUGGAAGGCGCAGCAGUCCAGCUUCGGUAUCCAUUGAGAUCAAAACUAAAGAAAUGGACCCAUCUCUAUUCAAAAUGAAUUUCUUUUAUACGAAAAACACAAAGGAAACUGAAGCUACAUUUCUAAAUACUGAAAAGCAAAGAAUAAAGGUGACUUUUCCCUUAAAGUGUUCUAUGCCAACGUCAUUUAGUGCUUUGGCAAAUCCCAGGAUAUUCUAAGAGGACUAGUUUAGGGUAGUAAGCCAUGCACAUACCUUUUCAUUAGCUGCUUAUUUUCAAACAGAGGCCUACAGAAAUUCCAGUGCUCUGAACCCUCACAGGGGAAUGGAGCAAACAGAAAAGAUCUUGUUAAAAGUGUCUUUCUCCAAAGACUACUUUUUUUCCUUUUUUUAAAGUACUCUUCUCUGGGAAAAGAGAAAGCAGGCUUAGCUGAAUAUGCCCACCGUGCCAACUUCUAAUACUUUCUUGUAUUUGUCAAUGGCACCAGCCAGUUUUGGCAUCAUUCCCUGUUUGUCUAUGGCUAGGGUACCUGAAAGGAGGCUUGGUCACUUCUGUGGAUAGAUUUCAUGAGAUUGGACUCUGUAUGUGCCUGGCUUCUGCUUCUCCUGUGUAUACCAAUGAUUAACAAUGAUUAGUAUUUAGUUACACAGAAGCAGUGCUUACACAAGGUUAGUGCUUUGCUCUUGUGUUCUGCUUUCUGUCACUCAUCCUUCAACCUGGAGUCCUCUAUUUAGCAUUAGAACUACCUUGAAUAUUCUUCUGUCAUCUCUAACAACCCCCACUCUGCUUUGUACUAUGGUCUUUCUGAGCAUCUUUGAUAGCUGAUUUUUUCCUCUCCUUACCUCUCCUUACCUCUCUUUCUUCAUUAAAAUAACAUUUUAAAUCCUUUCUUUUCUCCCUUAGAGACUGCUUCUUUCUCUUCUUUUUUUCCCAACCUUUUCUCACCUCUGAGAAGUUAAAGUUCCUGAGGUGAAUAUUAUGUCUUGUCAGUCCCAGGGCUCUUUCUUCACAACUGUGUAUCUACUGUCUUGUUCUCCAAAUUUCUAUCACAAACCUAUACAAUAAGAAUAUAUUAAUAAUUACUGUAUUGAAUUUUGUAGCUGUAUGUGCAUGAUAGUGUACAAGCAGAUAUUAACGUGAUAUUGAGAUUUUAAUAUUAUGCAAGGAGAAACAUAAUUUAAGCAAAUCAAUAAGGGUUAAUGAAACUUAGAUCUUGUCA
ensembl:lncRNA